UCUUGUCCAAAGUUCUAUUGGCCUCUCUCCACCAGCCAGACAGAUGGCUUCCUGACCCCGUGGUCUGGUAACUGAAUGUUACAAAUGGCCCUGGAGAAUUGAAUUGAAUCUCCACAAAUAGGAAAGAAGCUAAGUAUUGUGGCAGCCCACCGAGUUUUCUUGUUUAACUCAGGCCCCAUGGUAAGAAGAAAGGCUAUGAAGACCCUAAAUCCUCACAGGGAAAUAGAAGGCCAAUCCUGGUCUGGAAUGGCAAAUGUCUUCACAAGAGAUAUCCAGUCAAAGCAGAAAUGUGUUUGUGUGUGACUUAAACAAAUAGGCCAAUAAACUAGCUUAUUUCUAAGUG
rnacentral:sRNA from 1 species